CAAUAGCGGAGGAAAAGAAACUAACAAGGAUUCCCCUAGUAACGGCGAGUGAAGAGGGAAGAGCUCAAAUUUUAAAUCUGCCUUGUUCCAAGGUCGAGUUGUAAUUUGAAGAAGCGUUUUCUUGGGCUCGCGGCCGGUAGAAGUUCUUUGGAACAGGACAUCAUAGAGGGUGACAAUCCCGUCCGUGACCGGUCGUGCGUUCAUCUACGAUACGCUUUCAAAGAGUCGAGUUGUUUGGGAUUGCAGCUCCAAACGGGUGGUAAACAUCACCUAAGGCUAAAUAUUGGCGAGAGACCGAUAGCGAACAAGUACCGUGAGGGAAAGAUGAAAAGAACUUUGAAAAGAGAGUUAAACAGUACGUGAAAUUGUUGAAAGGGAAACGAUUGAAGUCAGUCGUGCUGGCGCGAAAUCAACCCUCUCGUCUUGAGAUCACAUGGCGCGACGAGCCUCAAAACCGUCACGAAGCGUGAACUCUUGACGAAAAGGUGCACUUUCGUGUCCGCUGGUUAACAUCAAUUUCGAACGUCAUAAAAAGGCUGGAGGGAUGUGGCUCCUUCGGGAGUGUUAUAACCUUUAGCGGAAUGUGGCGUUCGGGAUUGAGGAUUGCAACGAAUACCUUCAGGGCUGUUCCACCUGGCUUCUCAUUGGUAUCCUGGUGACGACAGCUUGCUGACGUCGUUAGGAUCAGCUUCUGAACAGGCUAGAGUGUGAGCAAAUUCGUUAAGGAUGUUAACGUAAUGGCUUUAAACGACCCGUCU
rnacentral:rRNA from 1 species